AGUGAACGCUGGCGGUAGGCCUAACACAUGCAAGUCGAACGGCAGCACAGUAAUAGCUUGCUCUUACGGGUGGCGAGUGGCGGACGGGUGAGGAAUACAUAGGAAUCUACUUUUUCGUGGGGGGUAACGUAGGGAAACUUACGCUAAUACAGCAUACGACCUACGGGUGAAAGCAGGGGAUCUUCGGACCUUGCGCGAUUGAAUGAGCGGAUGUCGGAUUAGCUAGUUGGCGGGGAAAAGGCCCACCAAGGCGACGAUCGGUAGCGGGUCUGAGAGGAUAACCAGCAACACGGGAACGGAGACACGUUCCAGCCUCCUACGGAGGGAAGCGGUGGGAAUUAUGGGACAUGGGGGGAAAGCUUGACCAAGCAAGCCGGCGUGGGUGAAGAGGGCUUUCGGGUUGUAAAGUCCUUUUGUUGGGAAAAAACGGCAGCAGGUAAAAUCCCCGCUGAUCGAACGGAACUGAAAGAAAAGGCACCGGCUACUUCGUG
rnacentral:rRNA from 1 species